rnacentral:piRNA from 1 species
UGAUGACCUGAGCAGUGCUGAUG